rnacentral:rRNA from 1 species
UACAGAGGUCUCAAGCGUUGUUCGGAUUCAUUGGGCGUAAAGGGUGCGUAGGCGGCGCGGUAAGUCGGGUGUGAAAUCUCGGAGCUUUAACUCCGAAACUGCAUUCGAUACUGCCGUGCUUGAGGACUGGAGAGGAGACUGGAAUUUACGGUGUAGCGGUGAAAUGCGUAGAUAUUCGACAAGAACACCAGUGGCGAAGGCGGCUCACUGGCCCGGUACUGACGCUGGAGGCGACGGAAAGCUGGGGGGAGCAAACGGG